rnacentral:tRNA from 1 species
UGUCAAGGGAUGGGAAUCGAACCCACGACCUUCCGCUUAACGGCAGAUGCCAUGACCACUAGGCUACCCUGGAC